GAUGAACGCUGGCGGCGUGCCUAAUACAUGCAAGUCGAGCGAACAGAUGAGGAGCUUGCUCCUCUGACGUUAGCGGCGGACGGGUGAGUAACACGUGGAUAACCUACCUAUAAGACUGGGAUAACUUCGGGAAACCGGAGCUAAUACCGGAUAAUAUAUUGAACCGCAUGGUUCAAUAGUGAAAGACGGUUUUGCUGUCACUUAUAGAUGGAUCCGCGCCGCAUUAGCUAGUUGGUAAGGUAACGGCUUACCAAGGCAACGAUGCGUAGCCGACCUGAGAGGGUGAUCGGCCACACUGGAACUGAGACACGGUCCAGACUCCUACGGGAGGCAGCAGUAGGGAAUCUUCCGCAAUGGGCGAAAGCUUGACGGAGCAACGCCGCAUGAGUGAUGAAGGUCUUCGGAUCGUAAAACUCUGUUAUUAGGGAAGAACAAAUGUGUAAGUAACUAUGCACGUCUUGACGGUACCUAAUCAGAAAGCCACGGCUAACUACGUG
rnacentral:rRNA from 1 species